CCUACGGGGGGCUGCAGUGGGGAAUAUUGGACAAUGGGGGCAACCCUGAUCCAGCCAUGCCGCGUGUGUGAAGAAGGCCCUCGGUUUGUAAAGCACUUUCAGUGAGGAAGAACGCCUGGUGGUUAAUACCCAUCAGGAAAGACAUCACUCACAGAAGAAGCACCGGCUAACUCCGUGCCAGCAGCCGCGGUAAUACGGAGGGUGCGAGCGUUAAUCGGAAUUACUGGGCGUAAAGCGCGCGUAGGUGGCUUGAUAAGCCGGUUGUGAAAGCCCCGGGCUCAACCUGGGAACGGCAUCCGGAACUGUCAAGCUAGAGUGCAGGAGAGGAAGGUAGAAUUCCCGGUGUAGCGGUGAAAUGCGUAGAGAUCGGGAGGAAUACCAGUGGCGAAGGCGGCCUUCUGGACUGACACUGACACUGAGGUGCGAAAGCGUGGGUAGCAAACAGGAUUAGAUACCCUAGUAGUC
rnacentral:rRNA from 1 species